CCUACGGGAGGCAGCAGUGAGGAAUAUUGGUCAAUGGACGCAAGUCUGAACCAGCCAUGCCGCGUGCAGGAAGACGGCUCUAUGAGUUGUAAACUGCUUUUGUACGAGGGUAAACGCAGAUACGCUUAUCCGUCUGAAAGUAUCGUACGAAUAACGAUCGGCUAACUCCGUCCCACCAGCCGCGGUAAUACGGAGGAUUCAAGCGUUAUCCGGAUUUAUUGGGUUUAACGGGUGCGUAGGCGGUCGGAUCAGGUAGAGGUGAAAUCCCGAGGCUCAACUUCGGCAUUGCCUCUGAUACUGUUCGGCUAGAGUGUAGUAGCGGUAGGCGGAAUGUGUGGUGUAGCGGUGAAAUGCUUAGAGAGCAUACAGAACCCCGAUUGCGAAGGCAGCUUACCGAGCUACUACUGACGUUGAGGCACGAAAGCGUGGGGAGCAAACAGGAUUAGAUACCCUUGUAGUC
rnacentral:rRNA from 1 species